rnacentral:rRNA from 1 species
GACGAACGCUGGCGGCGUGCUUAACACAUGCAAGUCGAACGGAAAGGCCCUGCUUUUGUGGGGUGCUCGAGUGGCGAACGGGUGAGUAACACGUGAGUAACCUGCCCUUGACUUUGGGAUAACUUCAGGAAACUGGGGCUAAUACCGGAUAGGAGCUCCUGCUGCAUGGUGGGGGUUGGAAAGUUUCGGCGGUUGGGGAUGGACUCGCGGCUUAUCAGCUUGUUGGUGGGGUAGUGGCUUACCAAGGCUUUGACGGGUAGCCGGCCUGAGAGGGUGACCGGCCACAUUGGGACUGAGAUACGGCCCAGACUCCUACGGGAGGCAGCAGUGGGGAAUAUUGCACAAUGGGCGGAAGCCUGAUGCAGCAACGCCGCGUGCGGGAUGACGGCCUUCGGGCUGUAAACCGCUUUCGCCUGUGACGAAGCGUGAGUGACGGUAAUGGGUAAAGAAGCACCCGCUAACUACGUG